GGAAACUCUAGCCAGGUGAGUGAUGGGGCAGCUGCCAUCCUGCUGGCCCGGAGGUCCAAGGCAGAAGAGUUGGGCCUUCCCAUCCUUGGGGUCCUGAGGUCUUAUGCAGUGGUUGGGGUCCCACCUGACAUCAUGGGCAUUGGACCUGCCUACGCCAUCCCAGUAGCUUUGCAAAAAGCAGGUAAGGUGGCUCCUUCACAUCGUAUCUGGGUCCCACCUGGAUCCUGCAGCUGCCCUGCAUGCUGUUGCCAGGGGCAUGAGGGUGGUCCUGUGGGUGCUGCAGAGUGGAGGUGGGGCAGGCUAGUGUCCCAUACUUCAAGCCCUUCCUGACCCCACAGCUGGGAUUGGCUCACCCUUCUGGAAGAGACACACACCAGGCAGCCUGUAGGCCCAUGGAUGGGGUGGGCCCCAGGGGAGGCAGAGGGCCAGUGUGUCAGCUCAGGUCUUUACCUUGUCUGCAGGGCUGACAGUGAGUGACGUGGACAUCUUCGAGAUCAAUGAGGCCUUUGCAAGCCAGGCUGCCUACUGUGUGGAGAAGCUACGACUCCCCCCUGAGAAGGUGAACCCUCUGGGGGGUGCAGUGGCCUUAGGGCACCCACUGGGCUGCACUGGGGCACGACAGGUCAUCACGCUGCUCAAUGAGCUGAAGCGCCGUGGGAAGAGGGCAUACGGAGUGGUGUCCAUGUGCAUCGGGACUGGAAUGGGAGCCGCUGCCGUCUUUGAAUACCCUGGGAACUGAGUGAGGUCCCAGGCUGCAGGCGCUACGCAGACAGUCCUGCUGCUCUAGCAGCAAGGCAGUAACACCACAAAAGCAAAACCACAUGGGAAAACUCAGCACUGGUGGUGGUGGCAGUGGACAGAUCAAGGCACUUCAAC
rnacentral:sRNA from 1 species